UAAUACGGAGGGUGCAAGCGUUAUCCGGAUUUAUUGGGUUUAAAGGGUCCGUAGGCGGACUUAUAAGUCAGUGGUGAAAGCCUGUCGCUUAACGAUAGAACUGCCAUUGAUACUGUAAGUCUUGAGUAUAUUUGAGGUAGCUGGAAUAAGUAGUGUAGCGGUGAAAUGCAUAGAUAUUACUUAGAACACCAAUUGCGAAGGCAGGUUACCAAGAUAUAACUGACGCUGAGGGACGAAAGCGUGGGGAGCGAACAGG
rnacentral:rRNA from 1 species